CGGAGGGUGCAAGCGUUAUCCGGAUUCACUGGGUUUAAAGGGAGCGCAGGCGGAUUAGUAAGUCAGUGGUGAAAGCCUUAAGCUUAACUUGGGAACUGCCAUUGAUACUAUUAGUCUUGAAUGUUGUUGAGGUUUGCGGAAUGGGUCAUGUAGCGGUGAAAUGCAUAGAUAUGACCCGGAACACCUAUUGCGAAGGCAGCAGGCUAAACAAAUAUUGACGCUGAGGCUCGAAAGCGUGGGGAUCAAACAGGAUUAGAUACCCUGGUAGUCCACGCCCUAAACUAUGAUUACUCGACAUACGCGAUACACUGUGUGUGUCUGAGCGAAAGCAUUAAGUAAUCCACCUGGGAAGUACGACCGCAAGGUUG
rnacentral:rRNA from 1 species